ACAGAAAAAGACAUGCAAUGAAAAUCAUAGAUUGAACCGAAAAGACUCGUCAUAGAAAGCUAUGCAGCCCUCAGAAGGUUCAAAGAUUUGACCUUCUCGACCUGGCACUAGCAUUUCAUAUUCAUCGGGUAUAUCAUACUUCUCUUUAAAAGUUGUAAGGUUCUCCUUGGUCAAGACAGAUCUCUCUGUCUCUAGACCGAGGU
rnacentral:lncRNA from 1 species